AUCAGACAUACAAACUAGUGCUGUGAGGUGAAAUGUCAGUUGUCUUGUUUGCAUAUGUGAGCUGCUUCACUGCUCCACACACUUUAAGAGCUGUAGUGGUGAUCAGAGAGUGUUCAGUCCUUUAACACACACUGACACACAGCACAAUGAUGAUGUCACUCAUUCUACUGCUGGGGACCCUGGGACUCCUCACUCAGGUGUCCUUGGGGGACAGAAUUCUGUCUCAGUCUCCAGCAUCUCUAUCAGUUUUACCAGGAGAGACUGUUUCUAUCACCUGCACAGCCAGUCAGCACUGCGGUAAUGAGUUUGACUGGUACCUACAGAAACCUGGAGAAGCUCCUAAACUCCUGAUCUAUGGUGCAUCAAGUCGUCAGUCUGGGAUUCCAGAUCGUUUCAGUGGUAGUGGAUAUGGUACAGAAUUUACCCUAAAAAUCAGUGGAGUCCAGGCUGAAGAUGCAGGAGAUUACUACUGUCAGCAGGAUUACAGCACUCCAUUCACACAGUGUUAG